AGGGAAUAUAGACAACUAGGCGC
rnacentral:siRNA from 1 species